UACAGAGGGGGCAAGCGUUGUUCGGAAUUACUGGGCGUAAAGGGCGCGUAGGCGGCUCUGCACGUCCGUUGUGAAAUCGCCCGGCUCAACUGGGCGGGGUCAGCGGAUACGGCGGAGCUUGAGCAAGCUAGGGGGCAAUGGAAUUCCCGGUGUAGUGGUGGAAUGCGUAGAUAUUGGGAGGAACACCAGUGGCGAAGGCGGUUGCCUGGGGCUUUGCUGACGCUGAGGCGCGAAAGCGUGGGGAGCGAUCCGG
rnacentral:rRNA from 1 species